UGCGGAGCGGAGGUGCCGUCCGCUCACCACUACCAACACCACCGCUUCCCAACUGCACUGCAAGGACACAGCAAAAAAAAAAAUACGCAUCCCUCUCCGACUAUGCGCCCUACAGACUCACCGCGCUUAGCCCACGUUGGCGUUCUUCUAACGUACAAGGACUUCCCCGGCUGUGCUUGAAGAAAAUGCCGCCCGCGCAGCUGCGCAUCGACUCGCCAUUCUGAAUAGAGUGAGCUUCCACGCUGUCGCUCGCCGUUUUUCAUGGCAACUGCAUGUCCUUCGAUCCGUGCCGCAUCACAGCCCACUCAUGGGGCGGCCCACGUGAGAGGGGCCCCCAUCGAUCGACUUGUUGCAUCUCGAUGCAACCAUCCUACCACUCUUGCGAAAUCAAGGACAUAUCCGCUGCGCGCUCAUUCCGCAGCUCGGAAAGGACAACCACAGUCCGACACCAGACGGGCACCGUGACUGGAGCAGCGUUUGUGGACGCUACGCGUGCGCGUGUGGCUGGGCAGAUGACGGCGCUGCCAUCACGGCACCGAGGAGGCUCAGCGUAGACCUUCGCCUAACUCGCUGGACCAUGAACGCGUCUUGCGAUGGUGGCGCCCGUGCUGGCCUCGAGAAGGCUGCUUCCGAGGCGGCCUUCCCCUUCAUCACGUGGAGUGGUGUCGCUGAGUGUGGUGCUCGGCAAGGCACACGGACUGCGCCACGCCCUCUGUGCUGAUGACCGCACAUUCCCGAAGCCCUCCACAGCCGACGAUUUCAUAGGCGCCACACUACCGUCCGCCCUCUGGAAGGCAGAGCACUGCACACGGGAGCGCUUCGUGGGUGUGUGGGCGCCCCCUCCCCCUUCCCCCCAGGAGGCAGCACACCGUGCUUGGCGCGCGACACCGCUGGCACGGCGCAUCGCAUCGCAAGGCGGCGCGACGGGGUCUACACGGAUGAGCCCCACAGUGCGUGCGUGCGAAGCAAGCGGCAUCCCCUACGUGCGACCUGGCUGCGCGGAUGGGGCGCUGACGCCGGCGGCAUGACGAGGGCAGCCCGAGUGACACGGCCGAGUGCUCCAGACUCCGCACUGUGAAGGGCGCCCGCACCGUACUGUGGAAUGCCGCGGCUUGAGGUGGUUUUGGGCGGAACGUGGCAUGCAGGCGGUGUGCGCAUGGCCUGCGAGAGCCCUGACCUGAGGCUGGCCCGCUUCCUCCCGGAGCUGAUGCGGCGCCUGCACGCAGACCACCCCCUCGUGCCCGCACGACAGACGCCACGGCUGCUGCCCUCGAGCGCGACCGUGGGCGCAGCAGGCAUGCGAAGGGGGAAAGGGGAAGAGCUCGGCAGACGCUGUGCCCGAUCCGACGGCAGGACGCUUCGUUGUAGACGACCACGAUGAAGCCGUGGUGCCACGGAGGCCGGUGAGCUGUGGUUGUGCACGCGUCUGUUUGUUGACGUGUUCGAGGCGCAGCGGACGCGCUGGCGCGGAAAGCGUCUCUACUAGGGAUGACGAGGAAGGGGGGCCACAGAUCUCUGUGGUAUCCGGGGUUCAGCUGAGGACGGCGUGAUGCUACAAAUGAAGAGGGAUGUUUUUUUUUUCGCGCUUCGGGGUUGCACCCGUGAGGCGGUGCUGGAACGCUCGCACUGCCGGUACGGAGGUGUUUGCUAUCUACUGGGUCGCUCUUGGAAAGUGUGCUCGGCCUGAGGUUUAGUCUCUCGUCGCUGCUUCGAUCGUUUUUCUCGCAUCUCUUCGGGCUCGGAGGAAGCGCUUAUCGUGAUGGUGAAAGC
rnacentral:misc_RNA from 1 species